rnacentral:lncRNA from 1 species
UUCUUUUCUAUUUAGUUCUCUAAUUCUUAGUUGUGCUGUAUUCUUUACUAAUUUUUUUUGGUUGUAUAUACCUUUUGUAAUCUUAAAGCAUGCUUGAGUAUCUUUAAUGACUGGUUUGCUUGGUUGAAGAAAUGAAGGUGUUUGUUGCAUUUUCAUAGUUUUGUUCACUACUGACUGCAUGUAGUUUGCUAUUCAAUUACAAUUGCAGUAUUAUCUUUGGAUGUUCUAGGCUACAAGACAUGCUUCAGAUGGCUAAUCUUGUGCCAACUAAGUUGCAUAAAAAAUUAUUUCUUUGCCCUGUGCUUAUUAUGAUAUUCUAACUGAAACUGAAACAUUCUAAAAGAAUGAAUGUCAUAAUUUUUUUUUGAUUUAUGCCUCAACCAAAAUCAGUAAUUCAUGGUGUGGUAUCCUGUCUUUGUUAAAUGCAGAUUUAUGACAUCUUCCAGCUUCUCCCAUCCAAGAUUCAGGUUGGAGUCUUCUCUGCUACCAUGCCCCCAGAGGCUCUUGAGAUUACCCGCAAGUUCAUGAACAAACCUGUGAGAAUCCUUGUGAAGAGAGAUGAGCUCACCCUUGAGGGUAUCAAGCAGUUCUAUGUGAAUGUGGAGAAGGAAGACUGGAAGCUGGACACACUAUGUGACCUGUACGAGACCCUUGCCAUCACCCAGAGUGUCAUCUUUGUCAACACCCGCCGCAAGGUGGACUGGCUCACUGACAAGAUGAGGAGCAGGGACCACACUGUUUCUGCCACUCACGGUGACAUGGAUCAGAACACUAGGGACAUCAUCAUGAGGGAGUUCAGGUCUGGUUCAUCCCGUGUGCUCAUCACCACCGACCUGCUUGCCCGUGGUAUCGAUGUUCAGCAGGUGUCCUUGGUCAUCAACUACGAUCUCCCCACCCAGCCUGAGAACUACCUGCAUCGCAUUGGUCGUAGUGGUCGUUUCGGUAGGAAGGGUGUUGCCAUCAACUUUGUGACCCGUGAUGAUGAGAGGAUGCUGUUUGACAUACAGAGGUUCUACAACGUGGUGAUUGAGGAGCUGCCUGCCAACGUCGCUGACCUUCUGUGAUCGAGUUGAAGAAAAAACAAAACAGAAC